ACUUUGCUUUCACUCUAAUCUAAGUUUAGCUUUUUUUUGAACUAAAAUAUAGACUGUUUUUUUUUUAAUAAAGCUUCAUAAUGACAAUUCCAUGCACGUUUUCAUGCAAAAAAGGGAAGCUUACAUCAUUAUUUUUCAACUUUUGGAAAUUCAUGUCAAAAGGGUUAGUGGAUUAACAUGCACUGAGGAGGAAUCACCACUAGCUGAAGAAGAAGAAGAGUUACCAAUGACUUGAGAGAGAGCAGAAACCAUAGCAGACAUGUCAUGUUGAGAUCGAGCUGAUGAGUAUAUUGGGAAUAUAUUACUAGUGUCUUUUUCAUCCCUUUGAUCAUUAUUAGAGCUUGAUCUUUUCAUUUCUUUGAUCUAAAAAAAAAAAACAUUCAGACAAGAGCUUAACUAGAAGCUAUGUUACUAAAAA